rnacentral:ncRNA from 1 species
UGUCUCCUCCAUCCUCCUCUUUUGGUGGAUUUAAACCCGGUUAAAAACAACCGGGUUUUUUUUA